rnacentral:rRNA from 1 species
CCUACGGGGGGCAGCAGUGGGGGAUAUUGCACAAUGGGGGCAACCCUGAUGCAGCGACGCCGCGUGAGUGAUGAAGCGUUUCGGUAUGUAAAGCCCUAUCGGCAGGGAAGAAGAUGACGGUACCUGGCCAAGAAGCCCCGGCUAACUACGUGCCAGCAGCCGCGGUAAUACGUAGGGGGCAAGCGUUAUCCGGAUUUACUGGGUGUAAAGGGGGCGCAGACGGUCCUGCAAGCCAGGUGUGAAUGCCCGGGGCGCAACCCCGGGACUGCAGUUGGAACUGCAUGGCUGGAGUACCGGAGAGGCAGGCGGAAUUCCUAGUGUAGCGGUGAAAUGCGUAGAUAUUAGGAGGAACACCAGUGGCGAAGGCGGCCUGCUGGACUGUGACUGACGUUGAGGCCCGAAAGCGUGGGGAGCAAACAGGAUUAGAUACCCUGGUAGUC